AACUAAGUUUGUUAUUGGUACUGUAUGAGCUUUCAUGUGCAUGCACACGUCUUCAGAUACUGAUAUCUUCAGAUACUGAUAUUUGAAGAAGUGUGCAUGCACACGAAAGCUCAUACCAAUAACAAACUUAGUUGG
rnacentral:miRNA from 1 species